rnacentral:tRNA from 1 species
UGGAUCACCUCCUAACAGGGAGACAACAAAAUGUUUAAUAUUAUUAUUUUGUCACCUUAGGUCGAUCGGCAUCUCACGUUCUUAAUUUGUUAAGAAUUUCAUUUUCUAAGUUUUUCUAGGUCACACCCAUUAUUUUUCCUGGGCCAUUAGCUCAGGUGGUUAGAGCGCACCCCUGAUAAGGGUGAGGUCCCUGGUUCAAGUCCAGGAUGGCCCAUAUCUCUAUGUUGGGGGUAUAGCUCAGUUGGUAGAGCGCCUGCUUUGCAAGCAGGAUGUCAGCGGUUCGAGUCCGCUUACCUCCACUGAUUACCACCUCUUCCAUAAUCUGUAGAAAGGAAAAAUUUUGUGUUGUGAUCCUAAUUCUGAACGAAUCUAGCUUCCUGAUGAACUCAUUAAGAUGCUGGACUCAUUGAAUUAAUUUCAUUGUUUUCAGAGAACCUUGACAACUGCAUAGAUUAUUUUAAAGACAAUAAGCAUCUUUAUUGAUGCAGAUUUAUUAUUUGUGCAAAUGCAUUAAUAACAAUUCUAUUGAGCUGAUGCUUCAAAUUUUGAAGUUAUUGGUCAAGCUACAAAGGGCUCACGGAGGAUACCUAGGCACACAGAGGCGAUGAAGG